rfam:Cavia porcellus supercont2_1 genomic scaffold, whole genome shotgun sequence.
GGGGUUUUAGCUCAGCGGCAUAAGUGCCUGCCUUGCAAGCAGGCAGUCGCGAGUUCGAUUCCCGAUCCCCA